GGCGUCGCGGGCGAGAAGGGCAGCGUCCAGGCGCUCGGCCCCUUCCGCCCCGCCCGCCGCCGGCCG
rnacentral:miRNA from 1 species